UUCUUGGGGCCGAAUUUAUUCAGGGGGUGCCGACCCGUGCGUUGGGGCGUCCCUGCAGUCCAGGCCCCGCUGCCGCCUUUCGGCCCUUGCCCCUCGGUGCAGCCGCCGCGCCCUGCGCGCUCCGGGGGCGGCCCCCGCGGGCCGCCAUCUUGGAAGGCCUUUCCUGCGGGUGUCGCUGCCUCACGUUCCUCUCGUCAAAGAAAGGGCGCUCUGGACGCUGCCGUACCCGUUCCUUUCUGCCCCUUCCCCUCUCCUCCACCUAAGCCAGGCAGAAAAGGCCGUGUGCGCCCCGUACUGCAGGGUCCCGCAGGGAUAGCGGCUAACGUGGCGGCCCCUCCGCCCCCUCCCUUCCCCACGGCGGUGGCCGCCAUUUUUCCUGAACACAAAAUGGCGACACGUGGCCUGGAUUCGUCGCCAACGAGAAAUUGGGGUCGGCCCGAAAGCUCUAGAAGGCGACCCCCACCCCGUGCCCGUGGGCCGGGGCCUUUCCGUGCGCGGCGAGUGCGCCGACCGCUUUGGGAUAAAGCCCCGCAGGCUGGUCCAGACCUCGACGAAUUCACUUAGGCCCAGAGAGAUGAAGUGACUAAUUCAAGGUCACACAGUGUCCAGGAUGGAAUCCAGACCUUCCGAUAUCCUUAUUGGCCUGCACUAUCUUCUGGAUACCAAGUGAAUGCCACACCGCCCGUUUUACAGAUGAAGCCACUGAGAUAUGGAGCAACUGACCAAAUAGUCUCCGCCCUCCCCCUGGAGCCCCACGCAUGACUCUUCUCCUCCCACUCAGUGACUGCAAGUUGGCGAAAGGGGUAAAUGAGGCUGGGAAGGUGAAACAUGAUCUUGUCACUGUAAUGUGGUAAUUGAUAAUGUGAUUCUGGAGCCAGCCUGCUGGGGCCUGAAUUCUGAUUUAGCCACUUACUAACUGUGUGGCCUUGGGAAUCCACAGAUCCUGAGGAUGCUGGUCAAAGAGCUAGAGAGCUGCAGCCGCCCCAGCCUCACCAGCACUGAGUAGGGCACAUCAUUUGGGAGUGAAGGGACAUGGGUAAAGUCUUCCGCAGACUCUUGGGACUUGAAGACUGCUCUGAGCAAGUAUGUAAGCAAAUAUUAAGACGAGUGAGUGCCCUAAAGCAAGAACCCAAGGUCUCUGAGCAGCAGGAGUGGGAUCAUGGCAAAUCCAGCCGGUGCCACACUGAACAAGCACUCUUGCUCAUUCCUUAGGGAAGAAGAACAGGUUGAUGGAAGAACCUGUUGUAUAGUCUUAGCCUCCAUUGUAGUUCCAAAGUUUGAGGACAGCAGAGAUGGGUGGGCUUUGCCUGCCCAGUACGCAUUCUCUCUUCUUAGGUAAGAGCACCUUGAUUUUCCUUUGGGGCUACCUCCUUCCCCAUUCUCAGUCUGGGCUCUGAUGGGGUCAGGUCUAUCUCUGGGUUCUGGAUAGGGGACAUAUAACCAUGCCUAUCAGAGAACAGCGGUUGGCAUGGGCAUGGUGUUAAAUCCAGGCCAAUCAGGACUUCCUGACUUUUGUUGGAACUAUUAAGAAGUGAAUUCUCAUUUCUUUUCCAACUGGGUCACCAAGCCUGUAGAAUGUUUGUAACCCUGAGGCGGCUGGUGGCUAUCUUGCCGCCCCACGGGAGUGCUGAAGUCAACACAGAUGAAAGCUGAGCUGGGAGGUGGAAAGAGAUGGAGACUAGAUGACAUCUUUUCAGCACCUAGACCUAACUAUUCCUUAAGCUAGUCUAACUCUGGACAUUUCAUUUACAGAGGCCCAGGCUUUCCUUUUUUUUUCUUAUGAAAAUUUAAUUUGGAUUUUUGUCAUCUGCAGGUAGUAGUCUUAAUUCAUGUUAUGAAUUGUAUAUAGUUCUCAUUAAAAAGUAUGGUUUGACCUUUCUCACCAGAUCCUUUUGUCUUAAAGUGUCUUGAACUGUAAGUUUGCUAUAUGAAUCAAGUGAGACCAUAUAUGUAAAGAACCUAAUUUUAUCUUCUGUACAUAGAAAAAAACAGUAAAUAUUAACUGUAGGAAGCAAGGAAGAAGGGAGGGAGGGGGAGGGGAGGAAGAUGAGGUGCUGAAUUGUAAGAACCCUGAAGUCUUUAGGGUAAUCCUCUAGGAACCUUCAGACCUUAUCAAGUCCCCUUGUUCUAAAUGCCCCUAGCGCCCUAUCCUUUUCCCUUGUCACCCUUCACCAUGGUUUGUAAUGACGUUUUUAUGUAAUAUUUGAUUAAUGUCUGCCUUCCUCGCUGACCUGGCAGUUCCACCAGGGCAGUGAUUGUGCUUACUGUUAUACCCCCAGCAACAGCCCAGCGUGUGGCAUUCAGCAAACAUCUGUUGAAUGAAUUGUCAUGUAUAGUUACUCAAAUUGGACUGACCCACCUUGAUUAUUGGGGUUAGGGUUGUGGCAGAAUUGGCAAAAUCAGGGAAAGUUGUCCUUGUCCCCUCUGCAUCUCCUAUGCUAUUCAUACCCUAAAGCACAUACAGAGAAUUUUGUCUCAAUGAGAUAGCUAAUUUCGAUUUGGUUGUGAAACCCUUUACCAAAGCUCUAUUUCUUAUAUUUUUAUUGGACCAUUUUAUUGAAGAAUUCACUAUUGUGGUGAUUGGCCUAAUAUGUGGAAAGCCUUGCAGAGGAGUGGGUCAGGUCUCUGUGAUUAACAAGCAGUCUUCCUUGCUCCUGUGUCUUUAUAAAAUUAUUUAACUGGAAUAGUCCGUGCUCACUCAGGCUCACUCAGGAAGUGUUGGAUCCUGUAGGAACGCCUGGGAAGUCGAUGAGGGAAAGGUCCUGGAUUCUGGAGACUUCACUCCCUUGCAGGAAACAAAAGCUGUAGAAGGUGGCCCCGGGGUAACCUGAAGCUGACUCCUUCAGCCCUCACUUCUGGGCCCAGUGGGAGCUCCAGGAGUACCACCUUGUCCCCUGCUUUGCCACACAAAGCGUUCUCCUCCCAGCUGAGGCUGCGAUUCAUCCCUUCCCCCAGCCUGCUUUCCCUGAGGUGGGGAGAGUGUUUCCCAGGGCCCAUGUGACUUCCACUGGCAAGUGACGAUUACAGAUGGUUUACUAGUCAGUAAAACUGCCAAAGGCUUUUGUGCUGUAAUAAUCCUUUUCCUGUUUAAAACUCUGGGGAUUUUCUACUGUUGCCAGUAGUUUUUCAAGUCAGCAAUUACGGUGUGGAUUAUGUAAUGGCUGGGUAUUAAAAAUAGAAAAGACCAGAGUUUGCAUCUAUUUUAACCAAAUCAAAAGAGAGCAAAGGGAGGGGAAAGGAGGAGAGGGAGAGACUAGAGGAGGAGGGAAAAAGAGAUUACGUGACAAGAAGCAGUGAGAUGGCGUCAUGUGACUGGACAAUCCAGCCCACAGUUUACUCUGCCCUUCUCCUGCCGUUCUUGGUCCAAGGGGCUGCACUCCCUCCUCGGCCUCCUCCAGGGAGGAGACCCUGCAGAGAAUUCCGGGGUCAAAAAACCCUCAUGGAUAUUCCUCAGCUCAGCCUUGGGGUGUUUGCCUGCCUCUGACAAGCAAAAUGACUAAGGAGGGAGGGGACUGAAUUUGAAGUCCUCCCUCCACCCCCAAAUCCAGGACUCCUGUGUCUUGAUUUCCAAGGUCUUGGUGCUCAGUUUGUUUCUCUUGUCGCAGUGGUAGAGUCAAGGGGUAGUUUAUGGGGGAGUCUUUAGCAUCCCAAAUUUCUGUCAGUAUCUUCCCAAAGCCACCCCAAAUAAAUAGCGUAUUUGAAAACUGUGUGCUCACUAGGAAAACACUGCUUUACUAUAGUUACUCCCAACCCUUCCACUGUCUGUCCCCACUCCACUCCUCUUCUCACUGGAUUGCCACCUCUAAGCCCCUCAUGUAGGAAUUCCAGGGCUACCACUGGUUUGUUCUUGUGUGACUUCUUACUAAUCUCCACCCCCAUCCCACCCCAAGUUAAGAAAUCUUUGUGUUUUUCUAGAGACUUGUUGAAUAACUUUAAGGACCCUCUCUCUCUCUUUUUUUUUUGGCUGAGGAAGAUUCGCCCUGAGCUAACAUCAGUUGCCAGUCCUCAUUGUUUUUUCUUUUUCAUGUGAGCCACGGCCACAGCAUGGCCACUAACAGAUGAGUGGUGUACGUCCAUGCCCAGGAUCCAAACCCAGGCAGCCAAAGCAGAGCAUGCCAAACUUAACCACGAGGCCACCGGGGCUGGCCCAAGGACCCUCUUAAUGGUGAAAUUUUAGGUACAAGCAUGGCUUGAUAAGCAGUGUGUACAUCCAUGCCCGGGAUCCGAACCAGUGAACCCCAGGCUGCUGAAGCGGAGUGCACAAACUUAACUGCUAUGCCACCCGGCCAGCCCCUCAAGGAUGUUGGUACAAAUUGCCCAAUUGUCUUCCAGAAAAGAUGUAUCAACUUAGACUCUCACCACCAGUCCUGUGAGAGUAUCUCUUUCACUACAUCCUUCCCAACACAAGGAUGAGCUUUGAAGUCAUUGUGCCAAGUCCUGCUUGUUCCUUUGGACUACACAGUGGGAGCUGGAAACAUGGGUGACCCCCGUAGGGGCUUUUGUAUUCAUAAGCACCAGGCUUACGAACGAAUACAAACACAGCAAGUCCCAGGAGCUGGUUUUGGUGGGGCUGGACUUCUCCAUGCAGAAUCACAUGGCCUCUUUAGGAAGAAGCCCCUCGCCGCCAUUGACCUCCACUUGGGGCAUCCUCCUGUCUCCAGUCCAAAGACAAUCCUGUGGACCUCAGAGCUCUUGUGUCUCUGCUGCUGCAGCACCCAUCCAUAUGUGCCCCACUGUGGCCGAGCCAGCCUGUACUGGGGUGUUCCUGUCCAUCUUGCAGGGGACCCUGCCUCCAGCCAGUGUCCUCUCCAAGCCUGUCUCCUCUAAGGAUUUCCUGUGGGUUAGCUCUGGGGAUCUUUUCUUAAUCUAUUCCUACGUGUGUUAUUACAGAAAGAAUUAUUCAUAAUUGCCAGCAUUGUGAUGGCUUCUUCCUAGUUUCUUUUGAGCCUGCAUGUUUUUCCCUACUUGACAUUUUCUAGGUUCUCUCCUACUUAAGUGACUUCUUCAGGAUCUUUUCUAUUGAGGAGUAAUGAACGAACAGUAAAGUCACAAAUCCUAAGCAUA